rnacentral:sRNA from 1 species
AAUACGCCCGCGUUAGGGAUUGAAGUGGCAUCCUUUUUUGUUUUUCACAAAAAAGAUAUAACGUAAAGCCCGCUCGAAC